UCAAACAAAAUCCACAUCCCCUCUCUAGACUCAAUGAAUGAAGAGAAACGGCGACAGCUUCUUGUCGACCUUAGCUUCUCUUCCAAUCAUCGUAUCGACGACUUUUCUUCCGACGGCGACAACUUAUGCUCCUCUUCCGACGGCAACAACUUCUGGUUCGUCAUCACGUCUCUGGUCCUCGGGAUCCCAUCGACACCUAAAAGGUGAUCUACAAAGUCAUCUCAAAGAACGAAUGGAAGAAUGAAGUGAACGUCGACGCCAUAUGCUCCUCCUCCGUCGCCAUCUUCUUCUUCUUCCAAGCACAUCGUCGCCUUCUGAAGCUUCCAAGCACACGGGGGGCGGUAGAAAGGCAUUGUCUAAAAGGUUGGGAAUCCUUCGUCGAGCCCUAAUUCCUUCAAGUUUGUUCACUGGUUCAGAUUCACAAUCUGAAAAAGGUAUCAAGCAUAUUUCCAAAAAAGUGAAUCAAGGGUUCAGCUUGAUACCUUUCCGGUUAGUUGAUAACACUAAGCUUGAGCAUUAAGAAGAUAAUGUCAAUGGAAUUACCUUGAAAUUGUUUGCUUUCACAGCUUCAUUGAUUUUAGGUUGUUUGUAUGUAUUUGGGCUUGGGUAUAACCCGAGUGACAAGGAGAUUGAAAAAACAGUUGUGAUUCAUUACAAUGGGAAUCUGAAGCCGUGGCUGGAAAUAGGGAUUCCAAAGUUUCAAGGGUAUUGGAAUAGGUUUCUGGACUAUGAUCGGGCUUACAUGAGGGAUUGCAAUAGCAUGUUUUGCUUAUGAAGAAGCAAAUUUAUUCUUUUAUUAUGUUAAUCAAUGUUGAUUAGGUUCCUGGAGUCAUGCAUAUUAUGUUGUUUGGUAUGGGGUGGAGAGCAAAUGUAUGUGUAAAUCAGAAAUUUGGUGUUUAAUGUGUUAAUUAUUGUUAUUUAUAUGUGAUUUUACUUAGAUGAGUGGUGAUUAUGGGAUUUCUGCUUUUUUUUUAAGAAAACAUAUUUAUUAACUUGUUUUAGAUGAGUGGUGAUACUGUGAUCUUAG